rnacentral:lncRNA from 1 species
AGGCAAUCAGACCAUGGCCUGAGAAUGAUUUGCCACUAAGCUCCGAGCAGAAGGCCAACCGACUCAGGUGAAGGUCCAACCUGAGCUUCCGAUAGGACUGGACACCCGUGAUGAUCUAAUUGAAGGGCAUCCCCAACCGUCUGAGGACCUCCUGAAUAUCUUACUAGAGAAGGAGAACUCGGGCCGGACUGUGAAGAUCGGCUUGUGCUUGGAUGAGGUAACCAAAAGCCGACUAACAGCUCUUUUGUAGGAGAAUAUGGAUCUUUUUGGUUGAUCGACUGCAGACAUGCCUAAUAUCGAUUUGGAGGUGAUAUCCCAUCAUUUGAGGGUGGAUCU